rnacentral:lncRNA from 1 species
GAUCCGGGUCGACUUAAGGCCGCCGGGACCCGUAGCAAGCCUGACAUAAAACCUGUAAACCUGUAUAAUCCCAUACAUGAUCAACAACAUGCAUAAAAAUUAAAACUUUUCUUUCCAUAAACAUCAACCAAACUCAACCUGUGCAUAAAUAUGAACAUAACUUUGAUCCCUCUGUGGGAUCUCAUCUGUGCCCUCAAAGGGUAACAUAACCUGUGUUGAGCUGGUUUACAUAAACAUCAUCAAAACCUCUAAGAUCAUGUAUAAAAAGGGAUACAACAUUCUAUGGUCAAGCACACACUAACAUCCAUAAAACUCAUUACAUAACUAUACUGUACUUUUACAUUACAAUUUGAUCAUGUCCAUUGCUAGCUAUUACAUAGGCAUGACUUCUUUACUCUAUCCGGACUCCCGUACUAUAUCCUGUACCUGUAAGCCUGGGGGAAAAGGGAGAGGGGUGAGCUAAAAGCCCAGUGAGUAGAGCUAUUAAAACACAUCAACACUAUGCUCUAUGAAAUGCAUCAUAACACAAACAAUUCACAUAAGGGUUGGGCGAACUCGUCACCAAUUAGUCCAAGUUAACUCUGUGCCAGGCCUGUAGAAUGGGGUCCUGGUCUUUCCUGUCAGAACAUACAUUACUUACCAUUUUCCCAGGGCCUCCUCUGGCUCCUGGUCUUCAAGUCCCAUAACCGUGCCUUACUCUGUGCCAGGCCUGUAGACUGGGGCCUGGACUUGUUUACUCUGUGCCAGGCCUGUAGCAUGGGGCCUGGUCUUCCUGUCUUGAACUAACUGGGUCAUCCGACAUUCACCCACAACAACAACAAUUUAUGCAAUGCGGCAUAUUCGUGAAAACUAAUGCAAUCAUCCUAUUGCAUAAUCAUGAUGCAUGAAACAUGAUAAAGCAUUUAAUUUAAAAGAUUAAGUUAUAGUUCCACUCACCUCUGGCUGACUCUGACAAUACCGAAGCAGCUGAACUCACUGCUGGGGUCCUCGGUUCCUCGGGUCCGAACCUACACAGGUGGACUCAAAUGAGGGACCAAACAUACCUGAACAUAACUCUAAAAUAUUCCCCAAAAACCCCCUAAAACAUCCUGAAAAUAUCACAUAGAGAUAUGCAUGAAAUGGCUGAACAGGGCACUUUCGGCGGCACCUUCGGCGGCCGAAAGUCCUGGACAGAGACGAAACUCAGGUAGGUUCGGCGGCACCUUCGGCGGCCGAAAGUCCCAGACAGAGACGAAAGUCUCUUUUCGGGGGCAACUUCGGCAGCCGAAAGGCCUG